UACGUAGGUCCCGAGCGUUGUCCGGAUUUAUUGGGCGUAAAGCGAGCGCAGGUGGUUUAUUAAGUCUGGUGUAAAAGGCAGUGGCUCAACCAUUGUAUGCAUUGGAAACUGGUAGACUUGAGUGCAGGAGAGGAGAGUGGAAUUCCAUGUGUAGCGGUGAAAUGCGUAGAUAUAUGGAGGAACACCGGUGGCGAAAGCGGCUCUCUGGCCCGUAACUGACACUGAGGCUCGAAAGCAUGGGGAGCAAACAGG
rnacentral:rRNA from 1 species